CCAUGGAAACUGUGGACCAAGAAUGGAUGGUAAAGCACCUCCUUUUUCCAUCUACUUUGACAGUGUUAUUUUUCAUUAGGAGCCUCAAUUAUUCAGACGGUAGAAAUCAGGACAGUUUCUAAAGUGGCAUAUUUUCCUUAGUAUCUCCUCUGCGAAAGGAGAAUUGAAGAAACUCAGACCAGGGCAGUCCGGGGUCCUGGAGAAGUUGGUCGCAGUCACUGAUAACUGUUGGCGCUUCCUCUCCAUGAGGAAUUAUAAAAGGAGGGACCCCGAAGGUCAUUCCAGUGGCACCAAAAUGAAGCUCUUGGCAAAGCCUGAAGUCAGCGGAGGGCACGGCAAAGCCCUUGCCUCAACCAUCUGUCUGCUGGGAAAGUUGCUUGGGUUGAAAUAAAGAAUAAAACGCUAUGGCAUACCAUGUUUUCUAAAACUCAGAGACCGGGCCUCAGUCUCCUUAAAACCCAAGGCAAGAGAUGAAUUUCUUUUCAAGACCUGCACUGAGAUGAAGCGUCAGAUGCUUAACCGCCUGAGCCACCCAGGCGCCCUAGAAAGGAAUUUCUAAUGCAAACAAAGUCUGACAUCUAAAGGAAUACACAAUUUUUUUAAAGUUUUAUUUGUAUAAAUAGAUGAGGAUCUUGGAAACCACCAGCUCUGUGGAGGUUAUGCUAUGUGGGAAAUUUGGGGGUUUAAUUGAUAUCACAAGCUAAAUUCUCAUCCUUGACUGCUUCUUAAAAUAAUAAAAAGUCCCUUUGAAGUAUGAAUCUAGGUGGGAAAUCAGAAGACCUGAAAAGUCUGAUGUGAAAGUCACGUGUGAGGAAUCCUAACCUCGUUCCUAAUAUGCUGCUUAGAAUACGGCACGGAUGGUACGAGAUCACACGGAGCAUAUGAUAAACCCACAUUGAUAAGCAUCUGCAGUGAUUGCAGGGUUAUUAAAGCUUUCAAGUUCUGAAGAGCGAGCCUAAGAAUAUAAAUGAGAACCCUCAUUAUGAAGGAGGCAGCUCUACGAAGCUGACAGCAGUCUCCCAACGCAAGUUAUACGCUUGGUAUAUUUGAACCGAAAAAUGUCGACUUCGUUCUCCGCAAUAAUGAUGUGCUGUCCCUUGAAUAUGGAAGUGACAUUACAAGCUCAUCUCUAAUUGACACAUGAUCUGCAUAUGGGAAGCUGUGUGCCCUGGCCCUCUCUCUUUCUUGUCUCCUCCUUGGAGCCCACUGCAAACAUUUUCAAGAUCAUCUGUAUUCCUAGUCCUUGCAUACCUUCUUCUCUGACACAGAAAUCCCAACAUCCUCUGCAUUUCAAACAUCCGCUUUCUGCCUAAGGAUGCACAGAUGACAACACCUCAAGGAUUGACAUGGCCGAUUCUAAUUGAUUCUGGUUCUUUCCUCAAUCAACAGGGAGCUAGACUCACGGCUGUUUGGCUCCUUGAAGUAUAUGCGGAAUAGUCGUCAUGUCAAUGGGUGCCAGGAGGACCACACAGCACUGUGUUGGCAGGAUCUAUUGUUUGUGAUUACCACAAAAGUGGAAUUUAAAGAAUGUCAUUGCCCUUCAUUUCUAAACGUUAAUGAAACCAUGUAGACAGAACUUGUAAAAAUGCAGCUGCUUGGAGAGGCCGUCAUAUUUGUGACUUCUGGUCCUCAAAACCACCCCCUUUGUUGCCUCUGAGACAUUCAUCCUCUUUUGCAGGAUAUUGAAUUUAACAAUAUACACUCGUGUCAGAUUACCAAUGUAAUACCAGUCUUCUAUUAUAGAUGUUUGUUGUACCUAAAA